rnacentral:tRNA from 1 species
UAUGAAUUGCCUGAUUAAAGGAUUACUUUGAUAGAGUAAAUCAUGUAGAUACUCUACAUUCAUAA